UAAUAAUUAAUUACAAAUUAUUAAUGAAGAAACUUAAUUUUCAAGACACUGAUUAAAAAUUUUAUAUUUAGAAAAGUUUCUUUGACACAUCAAUGUUUUGAGGUGCAAAUAGCAAUAAAUUAUCACUGAUGGAUACAAUCAGCUUGCCAUGCUAAAUUUUGUAACCGUACUGUCCGUAGUUAUUUUACGAAGCAGUAAUAAUUACAGAACAAGGUCAACUGAUCGAAACAGAAUCAUAAUGAUGGAUAUCCAUGAUACAAUGUUCUGGUGAUUAUACCCUUUCCAUCUAGAUCGAACCAGUCAAUGGUUUACGUUAAAAAAAAGAGUAGUUUGUUUUGAUAUGUUAAGCUGUAAAUAGAAUGAUUGUAUCGAGGAAUUUCGAGUGGUCCAGCGAUCAAGCGUGUAUUUUUCCAAUGCAUGUAAUCAUUUACAAACGUAAACAAAAUAAGCAUAUGGUACUUACAGAGUGUCAUCCGUUACCCCGUAGUCCUUUUUCAUUCCGAUGUUAUUGAUUUCCAUUCACAAAUCUUUAAAUCAUAAAUGACUUCUUUGAAAGUUGUAACUUCCGGUGAUGUCGUUUCGGUCAACUUGUACAAUGUACGAAGCUUGUCGUGUUUUUUUCUUCUCCCCGUUCUAAUUCGAUAUAAGAUAUAUCAUGUAUAAAAUAUAUCAUAUGUAUAUAUAUGAAGUCUUAUACACUGGGUUUCCACUGGUCGAUUGUAUAACUUUUUACUGAUCGUCUUUUGGUUACGUGUUGACCUGGGGACGAGUCAGUCAGUGUACGACCUGACGUUCACGCAAGUGAUCAAAGCGCUUUUUUUUCAAUGUUCCUUUCUGGGCGCGAAGUCAGGGAAAUAUUCGCAAGGAUGGAGAACAUUCAACAGAAUCAAUAUGCAAUCAAGCAUGGAAUGGAUUCCAGAUAGGAAUAUAGGAUUCACCUUACACUCAGAAACUGGGGGAUAGGCCUAGUUGUUCAAAAUACACGGCGUUGCUGCAUGGACUUGAAGAGAUAGUUAUGAAUUUAGAAUAUCAUCAAGUGACUUAAAAUUAAUAAGGCACUGUUUUCAGUGGAUGAACCGACAUCAUGCAGUGUGACAGGAAAACGCCCGUGAGACCAAAGAUGGCUUAGAUAAAAGGGAAGACGAUGCAGAAGCCUCUGUACCAGAGAAAAAUCCAGAGAUGGCCCUCGAAGAAGUUAGAAACAAGAUGAGAGACCGUCUCAAGUUGUUUAGGUCUGGAGCCACCUUCCCCCACCCACGAGUCGAAGAAAUAGAUCUUUGAACCAGGUUACCCGUGACAUCAAGAUAAACAAAAUUCAACUUCAGGGACAAUUUGAUAAUACCUGUUUAAAAUUUUUUUUUUAGCUCACCUGGGCCGAAGGUUCAAGUGAGCUUUUUUGAUCAAAAUUUGUUCGUUGUCUGUCGUCGGCGAAAACUUUUCACAUUUUCAUCUUCUCCAGAACCACUGGGUCAAUUUCAACCAAACUAAGUGACACAAAGCACCCUUGGGUGAAAGGCUUUCAAGUUUGUUCAAAUGAAGGGCCAUGCCCCUUCAAAGGGGAGAUAAUCGCAAAAAUACGGUGGGGUCAUUCAAAAAUCUUCUCAAGAACCACUGGGACAGAGAAGCUGAAAUUUACAUGAAAGCCUCCUGACAGUACAGAUUCAAGUUUGUUAAAACCA